rnacentral:lncRNA from 1 species
AAUUUUUAUCUUGAGGAGAAGGAAGAUCAAGCACCAAAUGUUUUGCAAUUUCUGUGUUAGUAUUGUCCAGGUAAUGAAGAGAAGAAAGUGUGCAGUUAGCAGUUGCUUCCAAGAACGGAACGCCAAAUUCUACACUGUCGGUAUUGAUCUUGACUCUAAAUUUUCCAUCAGUAUGUCUCACUAGUCUACCUACAAAACAAGCAAACAACAAAAACAAUUUUUUUUUUCUUUUCAGAAGGUGGAUGCAAAUGCAAGUAAAGUUUGUGAAUCUUUCAUUAUUCUUCACUUAUAGCCAUAUGUGAAAAAAAAUUGUUUGUUAGGACUAAGAUUUUGGUUUUUUAAAGUACUUUUUGCUACUGAAAUUUCUAUUUGUGUUGAUAACGUGUUGACUUUAAAAAUAUAGAUGCAAAAUGUUUCAACUCAUAGUCAAACUCUUUUUUGUUAUUUCCUAUGAAGCAUAGUCUCCAACACAGACACCUCACACGACAUUGACACAGACAAAUCGACAUCUCUAAUGUAAAAAAUAUAGGGCAUAAACACCGGUACAUAUAUAUUAAUUUAUUUAUAGACGGUCUAAAAUGAUAAUCAAAACACAUAUUUAAGCAUCUAACUUGAGCAGUUUAUUUCUUUAAAAAACGUUCUAAAACAAGAUACCAUAAUAUAUGACCUUUAUUUAUUCAUCUACUGUCAUAAAAGCUAAAAAUGUUGUAAUUAACUUAAAUUUCUAUAACUCCUAAAUUGAUCAACAUUUCUCAACAUAUAUGUAACUCUUAUAUCUACGUUGUGUGGAUCAAAGAGAGAAGAAAAAAAGUUCUACAUAUUUGUUUGUGUUGCCGACACAGCUCGUAAGAGUGUUAUAUAGGUGUCAGACACCGGUCUUAGCUGUCCGACACGUGUCGUAUAAGUGUCUUAGGAAUAUCAGACACCUAGGGAUGACAAUGGGUACCCAAUGGGUAGGGUACAAUAGUACCCUUCCCCAUACCCGCGUUUGUAAAAAAUGCCCGUGCCCGAGCCCGUACACUCGUGGGUAACAACUUUAGUGCAUUUCCUCAUACCCUAUGGGCACCUAAGUGCCCACACCCGUACCCAUUACCCACACUUUAAUUAUAAAAAGGCAAUAAAAAACAUCACCAUUGAAAUAAAACUAUGAUCCAUUUUUUUUUAAAGCAACUCAUAAAAUAGCAGAAAUCGAAGUAUUUAUCCAAAUAAAAAAACAUCCAAAAUAUUCCUCGAAAAUUAAAAUAAAAACAUUCAAAAUACAUAUAGUCAAAUUGAUCGUACUCUUCUUAUUUUAGAACUUAAAUGAAGUUUAUUUUACGGUAAAAAGACUAAUAAUUACCAUCGGUUGUUCUUAAAGAAAAAAACUAGUAUACCUGCUAGAGGAUAAUAGUAAAACAAAGCCUUGGACAACGCUUCUUUGAAUACAUGACAAGGGUUGAAACUGGAAUCAUAAUCAUGAAUUGAUGAUGAUCGGUAUACAUGAACAGUUUGGGCAAUGUUAUUAUUGGCACCUUUAUUGUCAAGUGUUGAUAGAGAAAGAAUACAAGAAGAAGUGGAUUUUGAUGGCUUUACAAGCAAAACAUCUUCCUUUUCAAUAUUUAGGGGAGCUUUCUCAUAUUCCAUGGAAAAGGAUCGAUGAGAAAUGUAGUGGGAGGUGAGAUAUUGAUUUGAUAUGUCUUUGGCAAAUAAGGAGUAAGGAUGAGCGAACACAUGGGAGAAGAAAUGCAUAUAUAUAAUAAACAUGCAAUGCAAGUAGGUCAUAUAUUAAAAUCAGAAAUUGUAAUAUGUACAGAAUCUUUUAAUUUACUUUAUGACAAUCUGUACGAAUCUUACUUGUACCAGAAUUCUGACAAACACAAUAAAAAUAAUGCAUCACUCUAAGUCUGCAACAAAAAUAAAUAAAUAAUGCAAAUCUUUCUUUUGUUCUAUUUUCAAGUCUUUUUUUACAAGUAAAAAUAGAACUUGAACCUCCAUUUUAUAAUACUUACAUUAUGCACAAAAGAUGGACAUUAAAGAUACUCCUUUGUCUACAUUAUAAUACUUAAAUUAGUAAUGGUAAUUUACACCCUCUAAAAACACUAAGGUGUAAAUUAGCAAGUUACACCCACCUAAAAACACUAAUGUAUAAGUUUGCAACAUACACCCACUUGAUUAUAUACACUCAUUUUUAUAAAUUUUAUCAAAUUGUUUACACUCACCUCACUAUUUUACACACACUCAUCAUUUCCAAAUAUUGUUUCCUUAGAAGUUGCCUCUAUUACAUGUUUUGUAUUUAAGCAUAUUAUUGUCUUUUUUGUUUCUUUUUUAAGGAUCUUCCUUAAGAUAGUUACAAAAUUGUCCUUUUAUUUAAAUUUAAUUAGAAUAGAAACAAAAGGUUAGUAAAAUAUAAGUGGGUGUAGCUUGCUAAUUUACACCUUACUGUUUUUAGGUGGGUAUAAAUUAGCAGCUCAUAUAUAUAUAUAUAUAUAUAUAUAUAUAUAUAUAUAUAUAUAUAUAUAUAUAUAUAUAUAUAUAUANAAACACUCAUUAUAAUUAUGUCGGCCCUAAUAGUUUAGUGAGAGAAACUCCACUUGUGGCUGGGGUUUGAACCCUGGACCUUGCAUAUUUUAUGCAUUGUCCCAACCAACUGAUCAGCUAAGUUCACGAGGACACUUCACUUCUCUCUAAUUUCUUAUUUUCCUUCGUUCAUCGAGGAAGGAUCAUUUUAAGUCAUUUUUUGACCUAUAUCUCAUCUACAUUUUUUUCUUAUUGCUUUCAAUUUAAAUAUGUGGUUUUCACAUAUAUCCAAUUUUUUUCUUUUGUGUUUUUUCAUAAUUUCUUCAACGGAGUGCGAGCGUCGUCUUGUGGUUCAUAUUUAAAUAUCGGUUUCAGUUAAUUACAAAUUCAAUCAAUUAUUUGAGCGUCAACAUUGUAGAUCCGGAAGCAUUUUGCCAUUGCAUGAUAUUAAGUUGGGUGUUGUGAGUUUAUUUGUAGAUUCAACAUUUAUGCUUUUGAUGAUGUUGAUCAUAUUAAUGUGUAUCCGAUGUACUAUAUCAAUUUGAAUGAAUUAAUAUUUUUGUUAUAAUAAAAAUGAAAUGUACAUUGACUCAGUCAUGGUAUUGUUUUUAUUUUUUAUUUCACGACUCCCACACGAUAACUUACAUCAAUUACUUUAUUUCAUGACUCCCACGCGACAGCUUUACAUCAAUUUAGUAAUGCAUAUGUAAGUCUCCAAAUUAAAAAAGGUAUUGAUUUAUUGACACAUUUCAAGUCGUGGUUUUGUUUUUCUUUAAAAAAAAAAUCGUGGUUUUGUUUUGCUUUUUUGUAUUUCAUUUUACUCCCAGACGAUAACCUUUACAUCAAUUUAAUAAUGCAUCUCUAAGUCUGCAAAUAAAAAAAAAAAUUAUGCAACUCUUUUGUUUGUUCUAUAAGCAAGUCUUUUUCUACGAGUAAUAAUAGAACUUGGAACUCCAGUCCCGUAAGCAUAGCUCAGUUGGUAAGAUAAAUCAUUAUUAUAUGCAGGGGUCAGGGUUCGAACCCCGGACACCCCACUUAUUCACCUUAUGAGGUGAAUUCUAGUCACUAGGCUACCUAACCAAAAAAAAAAAAAAAAACUUGGACCUCCAAUUUGCAACACUUAAAUUAUGCACUAAUCUAGAGAAGUUCACAAAAAAAAAAAUUACGGUCAAACUUUAUAAUUAAUACCAACACAAACUUUAUAUGGUUUAAUUUAUUAUUAAGAAAAUGCCAACUUGUGCCCUUUUGGUUAGCUUAACAUGUGUCUUAGGAACACAAGUUAGCAUGACCUUAUUAUUAUUAUUAUUAUUAUUAUUAUUAUUAUUAUUAGGUGACAACUAGGGUAUCCAUGGAAGAAUGAUGGGUAAUUUAUCCCAACCAAUACACAUUAGCCACAUAAGCACAUUUUUAAGUGAUAUUCAUGAACUAUCUUGACCCCACCAACAAAUUGCUCAUUUUCAUUGGUUGGUUGGUAAAUUACCCACCAUUCUUCAAAGGUAAUCUAGAAAAAACGUUAUUAUUAUUAUUUAGGAGAAUGCUAACCAGUGUCUAUCAUGUACUAAUUAAGCAAACAAAAUAAAUAAAUUUUUAUAUAAAAAUAUAGUGUAAUUAUUUGUUGGUCAAAAGAAACAACUUAUAGUUCAAUGACAAAAUUUCUAUUUAUUAAUCAAUGUCCAUGUAGCAUUGGUUAGCAAGAUCUAUUUUUGUUAUAAUCAUCGGCCAUUUAUUUAGUGUAAGCAAUUAUUACCUCCGUCUCUAAUUAUAAGAUCCUUUUAAGAAUUUUUUUGUCUCUUUUUAUAAGACCAUUUUCUUAUUUCCAACUAUUACCUAUUUCUUUAUCUAUGAACCCUCGUUUAUUAUACAUUUUUUUAUUCAAUCUACCAUAAAUAGCAUGUUGAAAACAUAAACAAACUCUCUCUCUUAAAGAAUAAAAAUAAUAGUAAUUAACAUAAAAACCUAAUCUAACCAUAAUACUACUCCCUCUGUUCCAAUGCAAUAAUAACUUUUUCUUUUCAAUUGUACCCUUCAAUUAAUACUACAUACACAACUUUCAAAACUUUAUUUUUCUUUAAUGAAAACAAACCAAUAGUUGAUUAGGAUAAUUUGGUAAAUUAACAUCUUUUUUUAAUUAAUGCAUUUCUUAAUGUGUGUAAAAACCUUAAACGACACUCAUUUUAAAACGGAAGGAGUAUUAUUUUAGGACCGCUAUUUAACAUAAAAACCUAAUCUUACGAUCAUAUUAUGCUAGAAAUCUCAGUUAACCGAAUCAUAUGCCUCGUCAAAAUCCACUUUAAAAAUUAGGCAGUUCUUUGGUGACUUCUUUGCUAGGUCGAUAAUCUCCUUCACUGCCACCACUCCAUCCACCAUAAUUUCCUGACUUUAGAUGGUUAGGUGAGAUAGUCUUGUGCAGACCUCCAAGUAUCUUAGCCACUAACUUGUAAAGAGACCCUAGGAGAGAGAUAUGUUGAAAUUCCCCAACACAUGAGUGAUGAAUUAAUCAUACAUAACCCCCACAUCUUCCAGGAGAAGUGUCCAAAAUCUUUUGAUAUUAAUAGAGAAAUUAAACCUGUAUUCCUAGACUCUUAAUACCAACGGACUGAACCACCACCACAUUAAUCUUAGAUAGCAGAAAAGGCGUUGAUAGGACAAAAUUAACUUCAAUAGAAGAAAUCUGUUGAAAUUCAAUACCAUAUAAAGUCGGACUAUCUUACACUGACUUGGAGAAGGGAUAAGAGAAGAAACUGAUCACAUCUGCUUUGACAUCUGCAAUGUACUCAACCCAGUUGUCCCUAACACGAAGCGCCAAAAUCGAGUUCUUCCUCUGUCGCAUCUUUACAGAUGCAUGGAAAUAACCCAUAUUUGUAUCCCAUCUUUAAGGGGGUGCGGUUAUGGUGCAUAAGGAAAUCCUUAUGCACCAUAACCGCAGCCCUUUAAGGGGUACAUGUAUGCGAAGGCAUGCAAAUCUUUGCACUUAACGGGUGUAUGUAUGCGAAGGCAUGGCUCCUAAUUACACCCUCCUCCGGAGAAAAUAAAACCCUUGGCUUUCAAGUCCAAAACCCUAAUCUUCUAACCUAGUAUCUCAAUUCUAAGAUCAAUAUUACCAAAAACCUCCCGACUCCAAAUUUUGAAAUCCCCUUUAAGCAUGUUGAGCUUCUCCUUGAAAAUAUAUUGGCAACAUGUAGCACAUCUCUAAUAUUCUUCUUUUCUCAUUAAGAAAUAUAUUAGUCCUCUCUUGAAGAUGAUUCUUGUUGAGCUUCUCGUUGCUUGUAUUAUGAAUGAUGGUGGCUUCUCUUGUUACGAAUUAGUUUUUCAUUUUGUUUGCGUCUUGUUGGUUUUGGGUUUGGUCUUGAUUGGCUACGCUCUCUUGAUAUUAGUGAGAUUUGAGUCUUUCUUUGUUUAUUGGUUUGGAGUACCCCCAAAUACUCGUUUUAUCAAUAUAAUAAUUGUUAUAUAAAAAGAAAUAUAUCGAGGCGUACAAACAAAAUCAUCCAUAUGACAUUUACAUAUAAUAAAAUGGCACAGUUGUACAAUUAUUUAGAAAUAAUUUAUAGUAGUAAUAAAACAAAAUACAUAAUCAUGACAAAGUGAUUACAAUGUUAUAGUGUGGAUCACCUACAACUUCGAGUAAAGAAACCUUAAAGCUUCAAUUUCGUCCUUGAACUUAGGCAUGGCAUCAACAGGGAGUGAUGUGAAAAUCCUAACUCCUCCAUCCAUUGAUGGAUCAUGAUCAUCAAGUUUAUUAGGAGACGAGAAAAUGCACGCAUCAACGGUAGCAAGCAUCUUGCACGGUGCUGGUACUAAAUUCACAACUUCAUAGCCUCCAAAAUCUAUAUUUUCAUGAAAACCCAAAUGCUUCCACUCUGUCAAAACUGUUACUGCACCACUUGCUUCCAAUUCCAUGCUGAAAUCCUCCUCUUGAUUUGUCUCCACAGAGUUGAUUGAAUUAGUAACAUAAUCAGUGGUGAAAGAAAUAUUUUUAGUCUCUUUAAUCAGCUUAACAAUUUCAUAGAGUGGCAUUUCAUCGAGCUCACUCACUUUUAAAACAACUUUUGCAUCCAUGGUAGAAUUCCCGUAAUACCCUUUCGGUAAAGUAUCAAAAUCCAUCAAGUUACGUCUCAUACCAACUAACAUAUUCAGCAUUGUUUUAUCAUUGCUGCUAAGCUUUAAGGCUCUUGCUCUUGACCUCCACACAUAACCUGCAAGAACUUCAAAAGUUGUAAACCCUAUUUUUUCACUUUUAUUCAUCAAACUCAACUUAAGUCUUGUUAUCGUUUCGCCCUCUACUUUAAAAGAAUAUUGCUUAAUAAUUGUAGUAUUAGUUUGAUUCACAAAGGGUGAAAAUGCAACAGAUUUUCUGUCCAUGGGACAUUGUGGAAAAGGUUGUAUAGCUAUUGAUCCAACUUGUGUUUCUCUUUCCCACACAGGUUUCACAGAUGGCUCAGUUCUUCCUCUUGCAAGUUCAACAACUGCUUUGAAGAAUUGUGAUGCACCAAAUCCGUCACAAAUAGCAUGUGACAUCCCCAUUCCAAUUGUGAAACCACCACAGAGAAAUUUUGUCACCAUUAACACCAAAGGGUAAUUUUUAUCCUGAGGAGUAGGAAAAUCAAGCACCAAAUGUUUUGCAAUUUCAGUGUUAGUAUUGUCCAGGUAAUGAAGGGAAGAAAGUGUGCAGUUAGCAGUUGCUUCCAAGAACGGAACGCCAAAUUCUGCACUGUCGAUAUUGAUCUUGACUCUAAAUUUUCCAUCGGCAUGUCUCACCAGUCUACCUGCAAAACAAGCGAACAACAACAAUUUUUUUCUGAAGAUUGAUGCAAUUAAAGAUUGUGGAUAUUUCAUUAUUCUUGAUCAAUGGUCAUUUGGAAGAAAUUAGUUUGUUCAUUAGGAUUAAUAU